UAGCCCAAGGCCUUUUCUUUCCCAGCCCAGCCAAAGGACACAACAUCCAAUUAACGUGGAGAAGUCUUUCCCUGUUCGUCUUUUUCUCUUGGUGUGUCAUGGCUGUACGAACAAGGGCAUCGCCGUCUGAUCCUCUCUAGCCUGCAUCGACGUCCCCCGUUCUCUCCUGUCCCUCUACAGAACCCCAACACCGGAGCAGAACCCUAGCUAGCUGUUUCUUCCACACCGAGCCGCCGCCACCCCGUGCUGUUUCUUCCGCGAGAGAGAGAGGGUUUUGUCCGAAGCUUACACCGCCCGCCGCCGUCGCCAUGGCCUGCCUCGACAUCACCUGAGCAGGGGAACGGAACCGCGUCGUCUUCCUCUUCGUCCUGGACGUCUUCACGGAGCCGACCGCUGCCCGCAGCUGCUCGAGUUCUUCCUCACGCCGUCGACGUCUACUCCCGGCCUCUCCUUCGUCCUCGUCAUCGGCUGCUCCUCCUCCUCAUCUCCGACCACCCCUGGACGCCGACGCAGAGCAGUACGAGCAGGAGUACGAGUUCCCCCUGGAGGAUCGCGUCGGUGCUUCUACCUCUGAUCUGACAGGCGAGCCCACCCCUUCACCUAUUUUACUUUUACAUGCUCUUUUGAUCUAUUGCUAUCCUUAUGUUGCGAUUCUGUUGUGUCACGUGUCC